rnacentral:lncRNA from 1 species
UUUGAUUGUUAUGGCUUUCAUGCAUCGUUGAACUCAAAAAUGUUGUCAAUGAUAGAAGUUAAGUGGAUACUGUAACUUUAUACAAAAAUAUUUUCUGUAUUGAUACGUUUUAAUGAAGAAAACUCAUUAUUAUCCAACAUGUUCUCGUUUGAGUUAUCGUGCGGAAUUUAUAGUACAUUUUCUUUAUUAAACGAAACGAAAACAGAAUGUGUUUAGCCUUGGGAAGUACGUCGGAAAAGAAAGACUACCCAGCUUAUAUUUGUACUUGUUAUAUUCCGCUGUUAUCUCGCUCAGUUAGUGUAUGACUUGGACACAAUCAGUCUUAAAUAUAUGUAUAUAGCGCAUUGUGGUCAGUUACUGAGAAUCAUUUGCCUAAGGUGAAACGUGAAGUCAUGUUUUAGAUAAUGGACCAGAAACCAGAUACACAAGUUACUGGUGUACAUUUCUUACAAGUAAAGUAUGUUUGCCAAAGAAUGGAACUGCCCUAUGUGAAUCCUAGGUCACUAGAUAUACCUCGACGUAUGGAAUGUUUGUCUUCAGCUCAAGUUUGUAUGAUAAAAAGCUGAAGCCACCUUUUUGUAGUUUAAAAGGAUGCGAUAGUUUUGAUACUGGAGCUGUACUUCUGUCACCCAGUACAGAAGAUGAAGAUCCCAGAUCGAUAACUGUAUAUAAGAAUAUUAAAUAUAUGCAGUUCUUUACCAUUCACGGGGCAGAUACAAAAACACUUCCAACUGAUCAAUAUAUUUACUCGUUUUGUUUAUUUGAUAAAAGUAUGUUGAUUAUUAAACUCUAAAAAAACCUUAAACCUAACAGUUAGUAUUUUAUCUAGGUGACAUAUUUAAAAAUAUUGUAAGUACCGACAAUUGUCUUGUAACUUCGUUAUACUAUAGCAUAGGUUAUACUCGGUAUGUUUUUAUUUUGGGUAGUUUAAGCGAGCAGUGCGACUUGGUGUUUUUAACAUCAUUUAUAAGGCCUGUGCAUAUCAAAUCGUGAAAUUAAAGCAACGAGAAAAAUAUAUAAUCUGCAAUAUUCUGGUGAAUCGAUGAAAUAACAACAAAGGUUAUAGAACUUAAUUUGUCGAAAUGUUUUUAAGUGUGUACUUUUGAUUAAAAACCUACAUUGAAUUGUAUUUAACGCUAUUUUGCCAUAUUAUAUUUGGGAAAGAGCAAUGACAUCACAAUGCCUAAGAUGUUUUUAACUUUUAAACACGGUAUUGUAUUUUAGAUACUACCCCCUUCCACUCCACACAGUGAGAUGUUCUUGAUUGAAGAUAUUGUUUAAUCGGUGUAUUUGAUAGGAUAUAGUUUGUAGGAAUUAUAUUAUGGUGGAGGAAUAAUAUUGCUACAUCUUUAUUUUAAUAAGACUAACAACGUCUGCAGUUUUACCACAUAUUUGAUGUUUUAUUGCUGUUUUAUACGGUGGCACAGAGGUGACAUCCGCAACACUGUAUUUAAAUUGUGGCCACAACUUAGUAAAUU